rnacentral:rRNA from 1 species
AUGAACGCCGACGUCCCGCUCCACCUGCUCCUGCUCGUGCCUGUCCUUGCCUUCAUACCCCUCAUUCUCUUCGCCUCAAGAAGGUUGAGGCCGCCUGAGUCGUCCGGCGUCGCGCGGCUCCCGCCAGGGCCGUGGGCGCUGCCGGUGAUCGGGCACCUGCACCACCUCGCGGGCGCGAUCCCGCACCAAGCGCUGCGCGACCUGGCGCGGCGCCACGGCUCGCUGAUGCUGCUCCGGUUCGGCGAGGUGACGGCCGUGGUGGCCUCGUCCCCGGACGCGGCGCGCGAGAUCCUGAAGACCCACGACCCCGCCUUCGCGUCUCGGCCCAUCGGACCCAUGUCGCGCCUCUGGUUCCAGGGCUCCGAGGGCCUCGUCUUCGCGCCCUUCGGCGACGCGUGGCGCCAGCUCCGCAAGAUCUGCACCCAGGAGCUCCUCAGCGCCCGCCGCGUCCACUCCUUCCGCCCCGUCCGCCAGGACGAGCUCGGCCGCCUCCUCCGCGCCGUCGCCUCGUCCUCGCCCUCGCCGUCCGAGCGUCGCCCGGUGAACCUGACAGAGAUUAUCGCGGCGUACAUCGCGGACUCCACCGUGCGCGCCAUCAUCGGGAGCAGGCCGUUCAAGGGCCGCGACGCGUGCCUGAAGCUGUUCGAGGACAUGUUCCGUAUGAGGCCCGGUCUGAGCCUGCCGGACCUGUUUCCGUCGUCUCGCCUCGCGAUGCUCGUCAGCCGCGAGCCCAGGCGGAUCAAGCGCUGCCGCCGCGAGAUGCUGCAGAUCAUGGACGCCGUCAUCCAGGAGCACCAGGAGAGGAAAGCCGCCGGUGAGGGAGAGGCCGAAGACGAAGACCUGGUCGACGUGCUCCUCGGACUCCAGGAAGAAGUGGGCUCCCAGCACCCACUGACCACCGAGAACAUAAAAUUCGUUAUGAUUGACAUGUUCGCCGCGGGCAGCGAGACGGCAACGACGGCGCUGCAGUGGGUAACGGCGGAGCUCAUGCGGAACCCGAGGGUUCGGCAUAAGGCGCAGGAGGAGGUCCGGCGAGCUUUGGCCGGCCACCUCAAGGUGACGGAGGACGUCCUCGGCAACCUCUACUACCUGCACAUGGUCGUCAAGGAGUCUCUCCGGCUGCACGUGCCGGGCCCGCUGCUGACGCUCCGCCAGUGCAGGAGCCCGUGCCAGGUGCUCGGGUACGACGUGCCCGCGGGCGCCACGGUGCUCGUGAACUCGUGGGCGAUCGCCAGGGACCCCGCGCACUGGGACGCACCGGAGGAGUUUCUGCCAGAGAGGUUUGACCAGGAGCAAGGCGGCGCCGGGAGGGACUUCAAGGGCACGGACUUCGAGUUCAUACCGUUCGGAGCAGGGCGGAGGAUGUGCCCCGGGAUGACGUUUGGACUGGCGCACAUCGAGCUCGCGCUCGCCGCGCUGCUGUUCCACUUCGACCUGGAGCUGCCUGCAGGCGUGGACGCGGCGGGGUUGGACAUGACGGAGGAGGCUGGCAUCACCACGCGGAGGAGGUCCGAGCUUCUCGUGGUGGCCACCACGCUUGUUCCUGUACCAGAGUAG